GAUGAACGCUGGCGGCGUGCUUAACACAUGCAAGUCGAACGGAAAGGCCCUGCUUUUGUGGGGUGCUCGAGUGGCGAACGGGUGAGUAACACGUGAGUAACCUGCCCUUGACUUUGGGAUAACUUCAGGAAACUGGGGCUAAUACCGGAUAGGAGCUCCUGCUGCAUGGUGGGGGUUGGAAAGUUUCGGCGGUUGGGGAUGGACUGGCGGCUUACCAGCUUGUUGGUGGGGUAGUGGCUUACCAAGGCUUUGACGGAUAGGCGGCCUGGGAGGGUGACCGGCGACAUUGGGACUAAGAUACGGCCCAGACUCCUACGGGAGGCAGCAGUGGAAAAUCUUGCACAGUAGGGGGAAGCCUGAUACGGCAACGCCGCGUGCGGGAUGACGGCCUUCGGGUUAUGAACCGCUUUCGCAUGUGACGAAGCGUGAGUGACGGUAAUGGGUAAGAAAGCACCGGCUAACUACGUG
rnacentral:rRNA from 1 species